rnacentral:rRNA from 1 species
UUUUUAAAAAAAUAAUUUAUUUAUUUAAUGUUUUAGUAUUUAGUAAAAAUUAAUUUUUAGAUUUAUAGUUUAAUAGUAUUGUAAAAGAAAUUGUUAAAUUUUAUAAAGAAUUUUAUAGUACCUUUUGUAUCAGGGUUGAUUAAAAUUUUUAAUUUUUUUUUAAUUUCUCAAAAUUUAUAGAGUUAAUUUUAUUAUUAAUUUAUUGUGGUAAAAAUAUUUAUAAAAUAAUAUUAGUUUUGAAAUUUAAUUCGUUAUAUUAUAUUUAGUUAUUUAAGAUUUAAAUUUAAUUUAAAAUUUUAAAAGUUGUAUUAAUUUUAUUGAUUAAUAUUUUAAAUUUAAAUUAUUUUAGGGAUAAGCUUGAAAUUUUAAUAUAAUAAUUUAUUUAUUUUAAUAAUUUAUAGGAAUAGAAAUUUUUAUUUAAGUUUGUAAAAAUUUAUUAUUUAUUUAAUUUUAAUUUAUUAUAUUUAUAUUUAUUUUUAAUAUUAAAUUUUAUUAAUUAAUAUUUAAUUAAUAGUAAUAAUGAUUAAAUUAGUAUAAUAUAUAAAUUUAUAAAUUAUGAAUUCGGCAAAAAUUAUUUUCAUCUGUUUAACAAAAACAUUGUAUUAAGUUUAAUUUAAUAUAGGAUCUGCUCAAUGAUUUAUUAAAUAGCUGCAGUAUUUUGACUGUGCAAAGGUAGCAUAAUAAUUAGUCUUUUAAUUGAGGACUUGAAUGAAAGAUUUGAUGAGAAAUAGACUUUAUUAUUUAUAAAAUUAAAAUUUUAUUUUUAAGUAAAAAAGCUUAAAUUAUUUAAAGGGACGAUAAGACCCUAUAAAACUUUAUAAAUUUUGAUUUUAAUUUUUUUGGAUUUAUAAAUAUCUUAUAAUUAAAAUUUAUUUUAUUGGGGUGAUAAAAAAAAUUAUUAAACUUUUUUUAAAAUUUAACAUUAUUUAAUGAUUAGUUGAAUUAAAAUUUUUAAUUAAAGGAAAAAGUUACUUUAGGGAUAACAGCGUAAUUAAUUUUUUAAGUUCAAAUUUAAAAAUUAGUUUGCGACCUCGAUGUUGAAUUAAGAUUAAUCUUAGGUGCAAAAUUUUACGUAUUAGGUCUGUUCGACCUUUAAA